CCAUGCCCCUUGAUAAGAUUUCCAGAUACAUUUUCGGGAUACAGUUUGACUUACUAAACCCUAUAAACACCUGCAUUUUCUAUGCAUCAAAACUAAACAAAGGCUCUGUGAGCUGUUUUUGAAUCUUAUCGGGAAGUGAUAUAUCACCUAUUUUUCCUUCAUUCGUCUUUGUUCUUUGAAAAACAGGAAUGAACAGCAUCAAAAGUCCUUUCAAGGGUAUAGUCAAUGAUUUUAAAGGAAGAAAAGCAUCUUAUAAACAAGACUGGAUUGGUGGAUUUUGUUCUGGCUUUAGGAUACUAGCUCCAACCUUCUAUAUAUUCUUUGCUUCUGCACUUCCUGUGAUCGCUUUUGGAGAGCAAUUGAGUAGAGAUACAGAUGGAAGCUUGAGCACAGUGGAAACAUUAGCUUCCACUGCAAUAUGUGGUGUCAUCCAAUCAUUAUUCGGUGGUCAGCCUUUGUUGGUUUUAGGAGUUGCUGAACCAACCGUCAUUAUGUACAAUUAUAUGUACAGUUUCAGCAAAAAAAGACCGGAGUUGGGGGCUGAACUAUUUCUAGCUUGGACCGGCUGGGUUUGUGUCUGGACAUCACUGUUGCUGAUUCUUCUUGCAAUUUUCAAUGCAUGUAACAUCAUAUCCAGAUUUACAAGGAUUGCAGGAGAGCUUUUCGGCAUGUUAAUUUCAGUGCUCUUCAUCCAAGAGGCUAUCAAGGGAGUAGUCUCUGAAUUUAGUAUUCCCAAAAAUGAGGAUCCAAACAAGGAGGAGUUCCAAUUUGAAUGGCUCUACACCAAUGGCUCGCUAGCAGUUAUUUUCUGCUUUGGUUUGCUUUUGACUGCCCUUAAGAGCAGAAAAGCAAGAUCAUGGUGGUAUGGAACAGGCUGGCUUCGAAGUUUUAUUGCCGACUAUGGGGUUCCCUUUAUGGUAUUAGCAUGGACAGCAAUGUCUUAUAAUGUCCCCGGUAAAGUCCCACAUGCAGUUCCUAGGCGGCUCAUCUGUCCAUUUCCAUGGGACAAAGCAUCACUAUAUCACUGGACAAUCAUAACUGACAUGGGGAAGGUCCCAGUCGCGUACAUCUUUGCUGCCUUCAUACCAGCCCUUAUGAUAGCAGGUCUGUACUUUUUCGACCACAGUGUAGCUGCACAGCUGGCGCAACAGAAGGAAUUUAAUCUUCAAAAACCAUCUGCGUACCAUUAUGAUUUGUUACUGCUAGGAAUAAUGACAUUGAUAUGUGGGUUGCUAGGACUUCCACCAUCAAAUGGGGUCCUUCCACAGUCCCCCAUGCACACUAAAAGUCUUGCUACACUAAGGAGGCAAGUGAUCCGAAAGAAGAUGGUGAAAAGUGCCAAGGAUUGCAUGAAAGUGAAUGGAAGCAACUCGGAGAUUUAUGGAAGGAUGGAAGCUGUGUUUUUAGAAAUGGAAGGCAACUCCCCUCCAAAUCCUGAGGAGUUGGCAAACUUGAAGGAGGCUGUGAUGAAAGCUGAUGAUGGGGACAGUUUGAAGGGAAAGUUUGAUCCUGAAAAACACAUUGACACUCACUUGCCUGUUCGGGUCAAUGAGCAAAGAGUGAGCAACCUCUUGCAGUCGCUCCUUGUGGGAGGCUCAAUAUUGGCAAUCGCUGUAAUCAAAAUGAUACCUACCUCAGUUCUGUGGGGAUACUUUGCCUACAUGGCAAUUGAUAGUCUCCCAGGUAAUCAGUUCUUUGAGAGGAUUUUGCUGCUCUUCAUCAGCCCUAGUCGGCUUUACAAGGUCUUGGAGGGUUCUCAUGCUUCAUUCGUGGAGUCAGUACCAUAUAAGUACAUUGUUGGGUUUACCCUCUUCCAAGUUGUUUACUUCUUGAUUUGUUUCGGGGUGACAUGGAUACCUAUAGCAGGAAUAUUGUUCCCAUUGCCAUUCUUCCUUCUUAUCAGCAUAAGAGAACAUGUGUUACCAAGAUUCUUUAACCCUUUCCAUCUUCAAGAACUUGAUUCUUCUGAGUGGGAAGAAUGUCCAGGUUCUCCACAAGUAAGUCUUUUUAGUUUGCAUGGAGUUAUUGUCCACAGUAACACAUUGUAUUGUUUAUGAUGAUAUAACUUUAACAUUCGUGAAAUUGUGUUCUGUGGAGCAGGAAAACUCACCUGAAGCUGGCGGUCACGAGGAGGGUAGAGAAGAAUUCUGUGAUGCUGAGAUACUGGAUGAGAUGACAACCAGCAGAGGCGAGUUGAAGCUCAGGACCAGUUUCAGGCGCAUGCCGGAUGAUGCUCCCGGAUUGAUUAUUGAUUGAUAGAGCUUCUACUUUGUGCAUUCUUAUAAGAAGAUGAUGAUCAGUAUACUCCUCAUCUGAGGAUUACUGCCAAAUGAAUCUUCUGUAUGAGGUGACACUCAAUUAUGACAAACAUAUAUGCGAAAAUGUGAACAACAUCGUUUUCUCUGGAAUUUUUAUACCUCUGUUGGACUUUGUAAUAUUACUUUUUUUUUUGUCUGAACUUUGUAAUAUUACUUUUUAUAUAAUAAAUAAGGCGAUGGGAGGUGGGUUCCUAGAUCGGGCAGACCUUCCGCCUUUAGGUUUGAGGUGCUAA